UACGAGGGAUCCUAGCGUUGUUCGGAAUCAUUGGGCGUAAAGGGUGCGUAGGCGGCCAAGUAAGUCAGUUGUGAAAGCCCCGGGCUCAACCCGGGAAGUGCUUCUGAUACUGCUUGGCUUGAGUAUUGGAGAGGUGAGUGGAAUUCCAGGUGUAGUGGUGAAAUACGUAGAUAUCUGGAGGAACACCGGCGGCGAAGGCGGCUCACUGGCCAUAUACUGACGCUGAAGCACGAAAGCGUGGGGAUCAAAC
rnacentral:rRNA from 1 species